rnacentral:rRNA from 1 species
CCCUUAGAUGUCCUGGGCUGCACGCGUGCUACAAUGAUACGUGCAACGAGUUAAUCCUGCUCUGAAAGGAGUGGGUAAUCUUAUGAAUGCGUAUCGUGCUUGGGAUUGACCAUUGUAAUUAUUGGUCAUGAACGAGGAAUUCCUAGUAAGCACAAGUCAUCAGCUUGUGCUGAUUACGUCCCUGCCCUUUGUACACACCGCCCGUCGCUCCUACCGAUUGAGUGUUCCGGUGAAUUAUUCGGACUGCAACAGUUAUCUGUCGCGGAAAGUCUUGUGAACCUUAACACUUAGAGGAAGGAGAAGUCGUAACA